ensembl:lncRNA
ACUCGCAGGUCCGGGAACAUCUUCCUCUUUUAGGCUGGAUUUACCAGCUCGAGUCGUCAGGUUCUGUGAUCUGGAAGCGCUUGUAUGUUUGAGGUACGGAAGCGGCGUACAGGCUGUGCUUGUCUCUAUUGAUCUGCGGGUCUCAUGAGUGCUGCAGUG